rnacentral:rRNA from 1 species
AUUGAACGCUGGCGGCAGGCCUAACACAUGCAAGUCGAGCGGAGCGGCUGACGGGUGAUUAAUGCCUAGGAAUCUGCCUGGUAGUGGGGGAUACCGUCCGGACACGGGCGCUAAUACCGCAUACUAUCAGAUGAGCCUAGGUCGGAUUAGCUAGUGGGGGGGGUAAAGGCCUACCAAGGCGACGAUCCGGAACUGGUCUGAGAGGAUGAUCAGUCACACUGGAACUGAGACACGGUCCAUACUCCUACGGGAGGAAGCAGUGGGGAAUCUUGGACAAUGGGCUAAAGCCUUAUCCAGCCAUGCCGCGUGUGUGAAGAAGGUCUUCGGAUUGUAAAGCACUUUAAGUUGGGAGGCGUUACCAACAGAAUAAGCACCGGCUAACUGCGUGCCAGCCGCCGCGGUAAUAG